GGGGAUGAACUUAGAGUCCCCAACGUAUGGGAGUGUUAAUAGUCGCACUUUUGGCCAGGUUCGACGGUUAGUGAAUC
rnacentral:ncRNA from 1 species